rnacentral:lncRNA from 1 species
GGUCCGAGACCACAAUUGUCGUCCCUUGAUUUUCGUUGUCCACAAAUAUAGUCCCCAGUGUUGACAGUGGGUUACUUGCCAAUAUUUUUUAUACCCCUUCCAAAUUUAUUUCUCCAUGUUUUAUGCCUCAAAUGGCAAGUAGGGGGUGAAAUUACACUGUAAAAAAAUUUGGGUCCAGAAUUUUAAGGGAAAGUAGUGAUUUGGUCCAGUUGAAAAAG